CUAUCUUUUAUGCUCCAUAAGCAUGCUUAUAUAGUAUGCAUGGUUAGGGUGAAACCCUAAUAACCCAUGUCUUUUCCUAUUCCAAGGAUCCAUGGGUUAAAAGCUCCAUGGAUCAUCCAUGGACUUCCACAUAAGCCUAGCCCAUUAACAAAUGAGUAUUAGCCCACACUAUAUAAAACAAAUAGCCCAUAAUUUAAUUAGUAUUCCUUUUAAUCUCUAAAUUAAUCCAUAAUUAAUUUAAGACUAAAACUAAUUAAAUAACGUAACUCCAUAUUAAUAUAUUAUAACUCAUAAUAUAUUAAUAAACAUAUGUGUAUAACUCUCAUAAAAUUAUCCAUAAUAGUUUGGAUGAGAUGCAACCCAAAUGGACCAUGCCGGUCGGGUCAAGUAUAUACCAAAUAAGUUAUGGACUUAGACACCUUAUCCAACAGACUCCCACUUGGAUAAGUCUAAUAACUAUAUUUGCCUAUAACUUCAGGAACCAACCAACAAUCGUAGCUCUCGAAAACUCCCUCGAACAAUGAAGACUCUGUCGAACUAUGAAGCGCCAUUUUAGAUAAGUGAUCACAUAAUCCUCUGUUCUCAUGAUAUCAGCCGGACAAACACAUGGAACUAUGUCUUGCUUAUUGUCUAGCAGUUGUUUCUCGAUUAUCCGAUUUGUUUGACGAAGAACUUCACUGAACACAUCGGUUUAGUUCUGACCAGGCCUGGUAUAUGGGUCAACACAAAAUCAUCGAGGGGCCCGGAUAUCGCUUCUAUUUCUAGAAGGAACAGAUAAACUUCGACUGAUAUGCUUGUUCUACUACUUAUUGAAUUGUACACAAAGGCACGUUUUAUAACAUCAAGUUACUGAUGCGUUUACGUGCAAUNUAUAUAUUGAUUGCAUAAAUCAUUCAUUCUUAUAAUAUGGGCUAGUGAUCCAUGAUUCCUUAUGAUGGGCUUAACCCAUGUGGUGACCCAUGGAUGCUCCAUGGAGGUUAAAACCCAUGGAUCAGGAGGAAUGUGGAAAGUCAUGAGUUACAUGGUGUAACCCUAAUGUGCACACUAUAUAAGAAUCCCUUUGGUUCAAGAAAAUGUCACCCUAGAGUAUUGUCAAGAGUGUGGCUUAUUUUGUGAGCUAGAGAGUUCUCUUCCAAAGUUUCCAAGUGUUGGUGGUGAUUUGUGAUUCCACUUAAGGCAUUCUCACUAUUGAUGCUAAGCUCUUAAAGCUCCAAGCAAUUAACCACAACAAAAAGGGAUGUUUCCUAACUUGUUUUAUUUACUAUGUAUCAAAUUUUUGUAUGCUAGUUAGGGUAACACCUUGGAAACUUCAAGUUCGCAUGUAUAAUAGUGAAAACAUAGAUCCAAGGUAUUUAAGGUUGUAUGAACACCUUAGGAGUGUUAGAAUGCUCAAAACCCAUCAAUGGCAUCAGAACCUAGGCUUGCUUUCCGUUAUACUUGAUGCUACUUUGUAACACCGUGAAUUUCAAAAUAAUUUUUCGCAAUAAAAAAAAACAUUUCUCAUUUAAUUUCAUAAAAACAUUAAGUUUCAAAUUCCAAUCUGUAUCAUACAAAUCCCAAGAUCAUAUAAAUGUAUCAAAAGUCCCCUGCGUGUGUACAGAUCAAGCCGGCGCCUUCCCACGGUCAUUGCUAGUACCUGAAACAACAACACUAACACUGUAAGCACGAAGCUUAGUGAGUUCCCCAAAAUACCACACAUAAAACACAUAUUAGCCACUCGAGGCUAUAACUCUAUGGGUCCGUGCACCCAAACCUGUGAACCCUCAGGAUCUAACUCUAGGAACCUUCCGGUUCCAACUCUGAAGUCAUGCACAGCAUAAAUCACAUAGAAAUAAUGCAGUACAACACAUAGCAUACACAUAACAUACAUACACUGACACAUAGCUCUGAUUACCUACUCAAGGUAAAAUAUAAUGAGAAGACUCACCUCGCGUGUCUCGGUAUCUCACGAAUCCUGGAAAUCCCUCGCGCUCGAUCCUNGAGCGGAAAUUAUCCCUAUCAGUCUGAAAACCAGCAUCACUAUACCCUAAUAUUCUCAAGUCAUCACUGCCACCAAGGGUAAGGACCCAAUCCUUAGUCCUCCGCAGGUACUUGAGAAUGUUCUUUACCGCGGUCCAAUGAGCCUUGCCAGGGUUCCCCUGAUACCUGCUGACCAUGCUCAAAGCAAAUGCCACAUCAGGACGGGUACAAGUCAUAGCAUACAUGAUCGAGCCAACUGCGGAAGCAUAUGGUAAUUGGCUCAUCUCAGCUAUCUCAGCCUCUGUACUCGGACUCUGAGUCUUACUCAGUUUGGUAUUGCUUUGGAUCGGUAAAUCUCCUUUCUUGGAAUUCUCCAUGUUGAACCUUUUCAACACCUUAUCCAAGUAGAUACUCUGACUAAGUCCAAUUAGUCUUCUACUCCUUUCUCUUAAUAUCCUUAUCCCUAGGAUAUAGGUAGCCUCCCCUAGGUCCUUCAUAGCAAAGCACUUCCCAAGCCAGGACUUAACCUCCUGCAAGGUUGGGAUGUCAUUUCCUAUGAGUAGUAUGUCAUCCACAUACAGUACCAAGAAGCUAACUAUACUCCCACUAGCUCUGACAUACACGCAAGACUCAUCUUCGCUUCUCAAGAAGCCAAACUCUUUUACCUUCUCAUCAAAACAAAGAUUCCAGCUACGAGAUGCUUGUUUUAAUCCAUAAAUGGAUUUCUUAAGCUUGCAUACUCUAUUAGGGUACUCUGCAUUGACAAAACCCUCUGGCUGAUUCAUGUACACAUCCUCAGCCAACUUUCCAUUAAGGAAAGCGGUUUUGACAUCCAUUUGCCAUAUUUCAUAAUCAUGAAAUGCUGCAAUGGCUAACAUAACCCUAAUAGACUUAAUCUUGGCCACCGGCGAGAAGGUUUCAUCAUAAUCAAUACCUUGAGUUUGAGUAAAACCCUUCGCAACCAGUCGAGCCUUAUAAGUAUGCACUUUUCCUUCCAUGUCGGUCUUCUUUUUGAAGAUCCAUUUGCACCCGACUGUUUUACGGCCUGGUACAUUGUCAACCAAGUUCCAAACUUGAUUGUCAUACAUGGACUGUAUCUCGCUGUCCAUAGCCUCCUUCCAUUUAGCAGACUCCGGGCCUGCCAUGGCUUCCUUAACACUGCUAGGUUCAUCCAAAUUUACUAGUGUACUAUCACUAAUAAACGUAUCACCUUCCGUAGUAAUAUGAAAACCAUAAUAAAACGAAGGUGUGUUCCUAACCCGUGUGGAACGUCUCGGAGGUACAGACUCGUCAGCUGGAUCAACAGGAGUUUCUUCCUCAGGUUGAUUGCUAGUGUCUGAGGUUCCUUCACCAAUUGAUUCUUGAAUUUCUUCAAGAUCAAUCUGCCUCCCACUGUCUCCUUGGCUUAUAAAUUCUUUCUCGCGAAAGAUCCCUCUUCGUGCUACAAAGACCACAUUCUCACUGGGUCUGUAGAAAAGGUAACCGAAGGAUUUCUGUGGGUAGCCGAUGAAAAUACACCUUUCACUUCGGGGUUCAAGCUUAUCAUGAGUUUCACGCCUCACGAAGGCUUCGCAACCCCAAAUUUUGAUGUGGUCCAAAUUGGGAACCUUCCCAGUCCACAUCUCAUGAGGUGUUUUGGUAACCUUCUUUGUAGGGACUAGAUUAAGGAUAUGGGCGGCAGUCUCUAAGGCAUACCCCCAAAAAGAGAUUGGUAACGAAACUCGACUCAUCAUAGAGCGAACCAUGUCCAACAAGGUACGAUUACGCCUCUCAGCUACACCAUUCAGCUGUGGUGUCCUGGGAGGAGUCAAUUGUGAGACAAUCCCACACUCCUUAAGAUAGUCAAGGAACUCGGUACUAAGAUACUCACCACCUCGAUCGGAUCGAAGCAUCUUAAUGUUCCUGCCCAAUUGAUUUUCUACUUCCUGUUUGAAUUCCUUAAACCUUUCAAAGGUUUCGGACUUGUGUUUGAUCAAGUAGACAUACCCAUAUCUACUAUAAUCAUCAAUAAAAGUCACAUAAUACCGAUUAGCGUCCCUUGUGGCGGUUUUGAAUGGCCCACAUACAUCAGUAUGUAUUAGGUCCAACAAACCUUCACCCCUCUCACAAGUUCCAGUGAAGGGUGAUUUUGUCAUUUUUCCAAGUAGACAAGAUUCACAACUAUCAUCUGAUUUGAGGUCAAAUGAUUCCAAGACUCCACUCUUUUGGAGUUGGUCUAUGCGUUUCUUGUUUACAUGUCCAAGACGACAAUGCCACAAUGAUGCUUUAUCUAGGCUAGUAGAAGAAUCAAUAUACAACACAUUAUUUCCUAAGUUGUCUACAAUCGACACAGUUUCAUACACGCCAUCACAAGGUAAUGCUUUAAAAUAAAACACAUUAUUAAAGAAAGCAUUAAUACCACCACAUUCAUUAUCAAACGAAAAGGUAAAACCUUGUUUGUACAAAGCAUGAAAAGAAAUAAUAUUCCUCGCCAUUUCAGACGAGUAUACACAUUUAUUCAAAUCUAAUUUUAACCCAUUAUUAAGCAACAAAGUAUAAACUCCAAUCUUGGAAACAGGUGAAGCCUUCCUAUUCCCCAUGAUUAAGUUUAUCUUCCCGUGCUCCACAUCCUCACUUCUUCUUAGGCCCUGCAAAUCAGAACAUAUGUGAAUACCACAUCCUGUAUCAAGCACCCAAGAGUUAGAAUAUGUUGAGUAAUUAGACAAUAUAGUGUAAAUACCUGCAUAGGUGGGUUUCACUUUCCCAUCCUUUAGAUCCUGCAAGUACUUAGGGCAGUUUCGCUUCCAGUGUGCCUUUUCAUGGCAAUAAAAGCAUUCAGCAUCCUUUGGAAUGGCAGAAGGAGUGACAGAACCGUUCUUAGUCUUGGAUGAGGAGCCUUCAAGAGACUUUCCCUUGGUACCCUUCGAAGGGUGCUUCCUCUUUUUCCCUUUGCCUUGCCCAAUAGCUAAAACAGGGGUAGAAGUUGGAGUAGGAGUAGUAGAGGUAACAACCGCUUUACCCUUAAGACCGGUUUCAGCGGUCUUCAAGAGUCCUUGAAGCUUGCUGAGGGUAACUUCCUCCUUGUUCAUAUGAUAUGUCAUUCGAAAAUGAUCAUAACAAGAAGGCAAGGAGUGCAAAAUGAUGUCAAUUGCUAACUCCUCGGGGAUGUUAACAUUCAGCUUCAGCAAACGGUCCACAUACCUUUGCAUCUUUUGCAUGUGGCCCGUGACGGAUUCACCGUCCUUCAUGCGGGUAGUUAUUAUGGAGGAGAUUAUUUCAUACCGCUCCUGACGAGCACUCUGAUGGUACCUUUCCAUCAAGUCUUGGUGCAUCUCAAAAGGGUAGAAAUCUUCAUAUGACUUUUGGAGCUCGGCUGUCAUCGUGGCCAUCAUGAUACAUGCCACCUUAGUAGCAUCUCUCUCAUGAGUCCUGAAUUCAGCGAUCUCCUCAGGAGUAGCAGUAGACUCAUCAAGUUCUUUUAACUCCUUAUCGAGGACAUAUUCCUUGUCCUCGUAACGAGUAACCAUCCUGAUGUUCCUAAUCCAAUCCAUGAAGUUGGAACCAUCAAAGAUGACCCUCCCACAAAGAUUCAUGAGAGAGAAAGAACCAGUUGGGUUAGAGCCUGAAGCAUUAGUGUUGGAAGACAUCUGAAAGAAGAAAGUAAGUUUAGAUUAGAUAUUUAGGAUCCUUAAUAAGACACCCAAAUGUAAUAUUAAGGCUAGGAUCCAAUCACAAUAUAUUACACUUAGAAGAGGGAUGCCGUAAUCUAAGUAAUAAUAUAUUUGAAAGGUAGGCGAAUGACGAUUCACCAAUUUCCACCAUGAAAACGAAAUGAUUAAUUAGGUUUAAUUGGAUUUGAAAUUCCUAGAUUCUUUUGAGAUUCAUUGAACUUUUCAAUGGCAUGUUUCAAUCUCGAUUGUGCCCUUCAAGUUUUGUGACUGGGAUGCCGAGGAUCACAAAACAAGGUGUGAAUAACCAUGCUAACUCACUUGGUACUCCUAAUAUUAUCACCUAAUCAAUGUGCCGGUUAACCACACACGCUCCAUUGAUCUAUGACAACAUUAAGUUACCCUUCGUGAUCCUUACUAGUCUAAUUAGUGUGCCGGUUAACCACACACGCUCCACUAACGACUUGGUAAGGUACAAAGUGUGAAUUCCAUGGAUUAGCACCAUGUUCACAUUUUCCUAAAAUAACUAAGAUUGGGAAUUAAAAGAGUUUAGUUAUUUUAUAAUAUUCAUUAUACUUUUAAUGAGGAUUUAAAGUCGUUGUUCUACCCGUUCGGCUAACGACCCUCCACCGAUCAAGCAAGCGGUGGGUGAGAGUAUACACCCAUUAAGUCGCCAUUUUAUAGGCAACAACCUUAUACCCACCUUAUAGACCGGCUUCGUGAAUGAGGCCUACUAACGGUAAAACGACUUAUUCUUAUACAUAUAUAUAAUAAUUAACCAUUAAUGUUAUAAAUAGUAUAAGGGUUGAAUUUUAACUAUUAAAACUCUAAGGUUUGGAAUUAAAGUUUAUUAAAGUGUGUGAAACUUUACAAAUUCCAAAACUUGAGGACAAGUUUUGUAACUUUGCAAAACUCUUCAUUUCAUAACUUAUGAAUUAAAGGUUCAUAAAAAUGAAGACUCUUCAUUUUCAUGUAACUUAUGUGUUUUAAGUGUGUGUUAAAUGAAAGUGACCUUUGGUAAUCCAUAACUUGAGGACAAAUUAUGGACUCCAUUAAAACACAUAAAUGAUUAAGAAUUAAUUCUAAACAAUUCAGCAAAUAAUUCCUAUCAUUUUCUAAAUUCAUAAGAACAUGAACAUGAUCAUCAAAAAUUCAAGAAUUAUAUGAACACAUAAAAUCAUGGAUUUUUGAUAUAUGCUAUUGUAAAUGGAUUAGAACAACCAUUACACCAACUAAAAUAAGUUUUACAACACCAAAACAAUUUAGGGUAAUGUUUCCAGUCCAUUUCCAGCAGCAAAAGUCGAGAUUCUGCAUUCUUUCGAUCCUACUCGCCGAGUGCACGAACGGACUCGUCGAGUAGGUUGAAGUUUGCCUUGGACUCGGCGAGUCCCCCCAAUGGACUCGGCGAGUCUAGCAUGCAGACAGCAACGAUUUCGACUUUUUUCACUAUUUUGCAUCAAGUAUCAAACAAGCAAGCCUAGGCUCUGAUACCACUGUUGGGUUUUGAGCAAUCUAACACUUCCUAAGUGUGCAUGCAACCCUAAUAAACCUUGGAUCUAUGUUUGUCUAAAUACAUGCAAAAUAAUAAUUUUCCAAGGUUUAUAACCUAUCUAACAUGGCAUGGGGAACAUUUCAACAUAAAAGAGUUAGAAGAGAUUACAUACCUUUGUUGUGUUGGGUUCUUAGGAGUUUGAGGGCCAAGCACCAAUAGUGUGAAUGCCUCAAAUGGAAUCACAAACACCACAAACUCUUGGAAAACUUUGAGAGAGUAUACACACUCUUGUAUUUUCGGCCACACACAUGCACACACACACUAGAACACUAGCUUUCUCUUAGGCUAUCUUUUAUGCUCCAUAAGCAUGCUUAUAUAGUAUGCAUGGUUAGGGUGAAACCCUAAUAACCCAUGUCUUUUCCUAUUCCAAGGAUCCAUGGGUUAAAAGCUCCAUGGAUCAUCCAUGGACUUCCACAUAAGCCUAGCCCAUUAACAAAUGAGUAUUAGCCCACACUAUAUAAAACAAAUAGCCCAUAAUUUAAUUAGUAUUCCUUUUAAUCUCUAAAUUAAUCCAUAAUUAAUUUAAGACUAAAACUAAUUAAAUAACGUAACUUCAUAUUAAUAUAUUAUAACUCAUAAUAUAUUAAUAAACAUAUGUGUAUAACUCUCAUAAAAUUAUCCAUAAUAGUUUGGAUGAGAUGCAACCCAAAUGGACCAUGCCGGUCGGGUCAAGUAUAUACCAAAUAAGUUAUGGACUUAGACACCUUAUCCAACAAGUGUUACCCCUUUUUUUUAUUUUGU
rnacentral:lncRNA from 1 species